CCAUGGCGCUUGCAACAGUGCCGAAAUAUUGGAAACUCAAAACUAAGCACAACGAAAAUCUGCUUUGGCGCGUAGCAAUGCAACGUGACAACUACAGUUCGGACUUCUUUAUGCGUCCACUACACAUAAAAUAAAAUUCGAACUAUCGCACA